GUUGAGGGCCGAGGGGCAGGAAGAAGGAUUUUGCCGGGGGAGACCGAAACACCGGAGAGUUACAGGCCCAAAAACUGCGACUGGCAUACACAAGGAGCUCUCAUUAUGGUGGGUCUCUGCCCAAUGUUAACCAGAUUGGCUCUGGCCUGGCCGAGUUCCAGGUGAGUAGACCCCAGCCAGGGAGGAGUGGAGUUUCUUAGGCUGCUUCCUCUGCUGACUUCUGUCCUUUUUGGCAGAGCCCCCUCCACUCACCUUUGGAUUCAUCUCGGAGCACUCGGCACCAUGGGCUGGUGGAACGGGUGCAGCGAGAUCCUCGAAGAAUGGUGUCCCCACUUCGCCGAUACCCCCGCCACAUUGACAGCUCUCCCUAUAGUCCUGCCUACUUAUCUCCUCCCCCAGAGUCU
rnacentral:sRNA from 1 species